AGGAUUCCGCGGUGGGAAGUGCUUCUCCCAUCGCGGAGGAGAACUGGUGGAGGGGGGCGAAAUCGAUUCGAAAAGUUGGCCGAGAAAUCGUUUCAUCCGCCCUUGUUUAUAUGGGUUGGCGGUAUGAUUGUUGCUCGUCUACAC